ACAAGAUUGGUUGAUCAUCAGAAAUUAAUAAUAAGUUUGUUAUUAAAAUUACAAAAUAUAUCCUAUAAUUGUAAUCAACUUAUUCUAAAAUCACAGAUACUUGUAUACUGGAUCCGUUGUAUAAAAACUGACUACUCGGGAACAGUUCAUGCAAAAGGUAGAUAUUAUAAUCUCCACAGAUUUCUCUGAAUAGUCAACAUGUUGUUUAUUUUUAUUAUCUUUUUGUGGUAAUUAGUAUGUUUGUUAUAAUGAAACCUUAUUUAUUAUGGAGUACUUUUUAAAAGCACAU
rnacentral:lncRNA from 1 species